rnacentral:rRNA from 1 species
CGUAGGGUGCGAGCGUUAAUCGGAAUUACUGGGCGUAAAGUGUGCGCAGGUGGCCGCGCAGUGUCGAGUGUGAAAUCCCCGGGCUUAACUUGGGAAUUGCGCUCGAAACUACGUGGCUAGAGUGUGGCAGAGGAAGUGGAAUUCCACGUGGUAGCGGUGAAAUGCGUAGAGAUGUGGAGGAACACCGAUGGCGAAGGCAGCCUUCUGGGCCAACACUGACGCUCAUGCACGAAAGCGUGGGGAGCAAACAGGAUUAGAUACCCUGGUAGUCCACGCCCUAAACGAUGAUGACUAGUUGUUGGAGGAGUUAAAUCCUUUAGUAACGCAGCUAACGCGUGAAGUCAUCCGCCUGGGGAGUACGGUCGCAAGAUUA